GUUCUAUAAGGUACAGGAUAAACUCAAAUUUUCUGGAGUGAAAGCUUUCGAGUGAAGUCAGUUUUAUAUCUAAUACCUAUAAGCUAUACAUUAUGGAACUAUUUUUGUUCUCAAUUAUAAUAUUACAUUACCAGAUCAAUCAUCCAAGUCACGAACUCAGGGCCCAUUUUACAUAGACUUUUUUUGGGUUUGAACCCAGGGCAAAUGCCUACAUACCUACAUGCAUGUGUAUAUAAGAGUAAGUGCAUGGGGAUACAACCAAGUGGAUGUCACCAAACCAUGAAAGUAGGCCUUUUUUGCCGGGGGAGGAGAUUCAGUGGACAGAGGAGAACGUGGAGGCGGCCCUUAAGCCAUUGUUCAAAUAACCGGGCGUGCCAAGCCACCAAUUCCUCCCGGCACACCCCCUGUCAAUCCGUCCAACGCCCCCAUCCACAUUGUUGACUGACUUGCAAUCCCGGAUUCAUGGAAGGCGUAUGCGUAUCCUUCUAAUGAUAUUUGAGGAACGGAUGUGUAUGUAAAACCAAUAAUAAGACGACCGCAGAGGGGCAUGGCAACUAGGUGGGUUGCAGAUGGCUAGAAGGAUGAUUGGAUGGAUGGACGGUUGGAUAACAGGAUGGCAGGCUGGGCUACGUUCGUAGAUGGGUGGAUGGUGGUUAGUCGCUGGGUGGUUCGUUCUGGCCGAAAUGGUUAACAAGUGGUGCGUGUAUCAAUUCAAUUGAAUUUGCAAAUGUUGUUGUUGCCCACUCAUGCAUGAAGGGCCCAUGAAUGCCCAGCAGCAAGAUCCGCAUCAUUAUCAUCAUCAUCAGCUAACUGAAGUAUUUUAUGAUGUAUCCCAAUGCCACUUGAUGUUUGUCUUUCGAUUUUUGGGGGACUGGGAAGGGAAUCAAGAGAAGCGGAUUUACGCAGUUCGAGGCUUGGGAUUGGGGGAUGAAAUACUCGCAGCGAAGAUUGGAAAAUAAUACGCAAAAGAAUAUA